rfam:Vibrio sp. JCM 19236 DNA, contig00002.
GUAUACUGAGCGCGAUUGCUUCGUAUAACCCCACUAAUAAGGUUUGGGGGUCUCUACCAGUUCCCGUAAUAGAGCUGAUUACGAAGAGUUAGAAUUCUCUC